GGGCCCGUCGCCUAGUCAGGAAAGGGUGCUGGCCUCCGAAGCCAGUUGUCACGGGAUCGAAGCCCGUCGGGCCCG
rnacentral:tRNA from 1 species